rnacentral:rRNA from 1 species
CCUACGGGGGGCAGCAGUGGGGAAUAUUGCACAAUGGGGGAAACCCUGAUGCAGCAACGCCGCGUGAGUGAAGAAGUAUUUCGGUAUGUAAAGCUCUAUCAGCAGGGAAGCAGUUGACGGUACCUGAUUAAGAAGCCACGGCUAACUACGUGCCAGCAGCCGCUGUAAUACGUAGGGGGCCAGCGGUAUUCGGAUUUACUGGGUGUAAAGGGAGCGCAGGCGGGAGUGCAAGGCUGGAGGGAAAGCCCGGGGCCUAACCCCGGAACUGCUCUGGAAACUGGGCGGCUAGAGUACUGGAGGGGCAGGCGGAAUUCCUGGUGUAGCGGUGAAAUGCGUAGAUAUUAGGAGGAACACCAGUGGCGAAGGCGGCCUACUGGACAGUAACUGACGUUGAGGCUCGAAAGCGUGGGGAGCAAACAGGAUUAGAUACCCUGGUAGUC